UACCUGCAAUAAUUGAUUUGGAUCAUCGACCAUCAGAAGUUACUAUUAUAGAAGACGAUGAUUUUGUGGACCAACAGACCGCCGGUGUAUCUUUACUCAGUCCUACGCCCUCAAAACAUUUUUGGCCUGACAGCCCCCAGACAAGAAUACCCGAGGAAUUAUAGCCUCGGGUAUACCAUUGAAUGACUUAUGGUAUAAUGAAAGCGACGAUAUUCUACCGUUCUGUACGGCCGGCUUUGACAAAACUCAAAACAUCCCCAAGAAUCGAAGAUUUGCCAUACAUAUACACACAUCCAAGCAGCCCCAGCCAUUCGUUGAAUAAUCCUGCGCCUACAUCAUAUCCUGCACGGCUCCACAAAACUGUAGUGCCAAUACAUAGAACUGCAUCACCUCUGCCCGAGAAGGUCGACUGGUUUGAAAACGAUUGGAUUCAAGAGCAUGCUCUCUAUGGAUAUGACUCCGACGAUACCUAUACGAAUCAUGCAGAGUCUAUACAUCAAGAGGACAUCGGGAUAGGAAACGCAUCUAGGAUUCCUCAGAAAAACAGCCAUCAAACAACUAAAGACUUCUCCCAGGCCUAUACACACAUAGAAGACCCAAUACACCAAGAGGAAGAGGAGGAAGAGGAUGCUGAUGCCAUACAGAGUAAAACAUCUUAACAGGUUGAUACAUUCAAUGCUGUUAAUGUCAAUGAUGCUAAGGUCAAUGGUGGUGCUGAGGAAGGGUUGAGCUAUGAUGAGGAUGAUGUGUUGAUGUAUGAUGCGGCUAAACAGCUUGAUACAAUCAAUUCUGAUGUAGAGCCAAUACUCAUUGAAGAUAGCAUCAAUGAGGACACUGAUCAUGAUAUAGAACUUCAAGAAAAGUUCUCACAGCCUUUUACAGGGCUCUAAAAGCCAGAGAGGUCCAGCUACACACAAGUAUGGUUGCUUUACUAAGACAUCAGUACAAUCAAAAUAUAUCCUUCUGGCAUAACACCAUGCUACCAAUCUGAUUAAAAAAUGCCCAAACAAACGAUAAAAGCUGUAUGUAACAUGGACACUUCUAGAAUACCGCCAAAACUGAUCUCCUUAAUUAACCAAAUGAAUGAGAGCCCCCCCCUUCAACAACAACCCCCACACAACACCCCCCACCUCAUAUAACUCAUACACAUGAUCACCCAUUAUCACAGGUCCCCCACAAAUUAUCUCCUUAAUUAGUCAUAUUAAUGAGAGCCCCUCUCCUUCAACACCACCCCCCACACACAUCCACAUGGCACCUACAACCCCGACAGGCUAUGAAGACAAUGAACAACCACACAGUGAUUUUGGAAAGUUGUGUAAUAAAUCAGAUGGGGGACGGUCUUGAUAGAAGAGUCCGUGUUUUGUACCGCAAUAAAUUUUA